GAAAGUCGGAGGUUCAAAGACGAUCAGAUACCGCCGACCAUAAACGAAGCCGACUGGUGAUGCGGCGGCGUUAUUCCCAUGACCCGCCGGGCAGCUUCCGGGAAACCAAAGUCUUUGGGU
rnacentral:ncRNA from 1 species